GAUGAACGCUGGCGGCGUGCCUAAUACAUGCAAGUCGAGCGAAUGGAUUAAGAGCUUGCUCUUAUGAAGUUAGCGGCGGACGGGUGAGUAACACGUGGGUAACCUGCCCAUAAGACUGGGAUAACUCCGGGAAACCGGGGCUAAUACCGGAUAACAUUUUGAACCGCAUGGUUCGAAAUUGAAAGGCGGCUUCGGCUGUCACUUAUGGAUGGACCCGCGUCGCAUUAGCUAGUUGGUGAGGUAACGGCUCACCAAGGCAACGAUGCGUAACCGACCUGAGAGGGUGAUCGGCCACACUGGGACUGAGACGCGGCCCAGACUCCUACGGGAGGCAGCAGUAGGGAAGCUUCCGCAAUGGACGAAAGUCUGACGGAGCAACGCCGCGUGAGUGAUGAAGGCUUUCGGGUCGUAAAACUCUGUUGUUAGGGAAGAACAAGUGCUAGUUGAAUAAGCUGGCACCUUGACGGUACCUAACCAGAAAGCCACGGCUAACUACGUGCCAGCCGCCGCAGUAA
rnacentral:rRNA from 1 species